UUCCACUAUACCGUGGGAGGCAGGUGAUGUCCUGGCCAAGGCUGACUUAGAGGGGAACUUUCACGAAGAUUUUAUGUCUCAAUAAUAUAUCUUCUACAGUGUCCUCCCCCUCCCACCCACUCAAUCUCAUUAGAACUCAUAUUCUAUCAAGAGAGGCCAGAGGGAGAAGUGGCUGCUGUGUAUCUUGUCGUCUCUGACAGCCGGUCCAUAACUCCAUUCUAAGUCCUUCCCUGCAGCAAGGGUCCAGAAGCUUCACUGUGACUGCUGGCAAUGACAGGGCAUUUUGAGGAGGCUCUCUUUGCUUACGUUGACUCCUAUGGAUCACGUGCACAAGGAGUGCGACGGCGGGGCCUCUUGCUGCGUGGGACUCUCUCCCCAUAAGAGAAGCACUCAGCUGAGGUCUGAGAUAUGAGAGACACAGCUGGCAUCGCACAUUCCCAUGCUGUGGCCCCACCCAUUCUGGAGCUCCGGGAGUCUCCUC
rnacentral:lncRNA from 1 species